rnacentral:rRNA from 1 species
UACGGGGGGGGCAAGCGUUGUUCGGAAUUACUGGGCGUAAAGGGCGCGUAGGCGGCCACCGCAAGUCGACUGUGAAAUCUCCGGGCUUAACCCGGAAAGGUCAGCCGAUACUGCGGGGCUAGAGUGCAGAAGGGGCAACUGGAAUUCUCGGUGUAGCGGUGAAAUGCGUAGAUAUCGAGAGGAACACCUGCGGCGAAGGCGGGUUGCUGGGCUGACACGUGACGCUGAGGCGCGAAAGCGUGGGGAGCGAACAGG